GACAGAGGGUGCAAACGUUGUUCGGAAUUACUGGGCGUAAAGCGCGUGUAGGCUGCUCUGCAAGUCGGAUGUGAAAGCCCUGGGCUCAACCUAGGAAGUGCACUCGAAACUGCGGAGCUUGAGUCUCGGAGAGGAUCGCGGAAUUCUCGGUGUAGAGGUGAAAUUCGUAGAUAUCGAGAGGAACACCGGUGGCGAAGGCGGCGAUCUGGACGAUGACUGACGCUGAGACGCGAAAGCGUGGGGAGCGAACAGG
rnacentral:rRNA from 1 species